UGGGGGAAUGUCUGUGACGAUGGAUUUGAUAAAAAUGCUGCGCAGGUGGUUUGCCAACAAUUAAAAUUGUUUAAUUCUUCAAGACCUGAUGAAACUGAUAUCUAUGUCAAUGGCAAUAAUUCAUGGAUUACAACGACUCGAUCUUAUUGGAUGAGUGGUAUUAAUUGUCAAGGAAACGAAACCCAACUGGAAGAAUGUGGAAAUGUGACAUGGGCUCAAAACAUAUGUAAUAUAAGUAACAUAGUAGGGGUGAGAUGUG